rnacentral:rRNA from 1 species
GACGAACGCUGGCGGCGUGCCUAAUACAUGCAAGUUGAGCGCUGAAGGUUGGUACUUGUACCGACUGGAUGAGUAGCGAACGGGUGAGUAACGCGUGGGGAAUCUGCCUUUGAGCGGGGGACAACAUUUGGAAACGAAUGCUAAUACCGCAUAAAAACUUUAAACACAAGUUUUAAGUUUGAAAGAUGCAAUUGCAUCACUCAAAGAUGAUCCCGCGUUGUAUUAGCUAGUUGGUGAGGUAAAGGCUCACCAAGGCGAUGAUACAUAGCCGACCUGAGAGGGUGAUCGGCCACAUUGGGACUGAGACACGGCCCAAACUCCUACGGGAGGCAGCAGUAGGGAAUCUUCGGCAAUGGACGAAAGUCUGACCGAGCAACGCCGCGUGAGUGAAGAAGGUUUUCGGAUCGUAAAACUCUGUUGGUAGAGAAGAACGUUGGUGAGAGUGGAAAGCUCAUCAAGUGACGGUAACUACCCAGAAAGGGACGGCUAACUACGUG